GCUCCGGGUAUUGCCUUAGUACCGGCGAAGUGAAGCGGCAAAGCUCAAAUUUGAAAUCUGGUACCUUCGGUGCCCGAGUUGUAAUUUGGAGAGGGCAACUUUGGGGCCGUUCCUUGUCUAUGUUCCUUGGAACAGGACGUCAUAGAGGGUGAGAAUCCCGUGUGGCGAGGAGUGCGGUUCUUUGUAAAGUGCCUUCGAAGAGUCGAGUUGUUUGGGAAUGCAGCUCUAAGUGGGUGGUAAAUUCCAUCUAAAGCUAAAUAUUGGCGAGAGACCGAUAGCGAACAAGUACAGUGAUGGAAAGAUGAAAAGAACUUUGAAAAGAGAGUGAAAAAGUACGUGAAAUUGUUGAAAGGGAAGGGCAUUUGAUCAGACAUGGUGUUUUGUGCCCUCUGCUCCUUGUGGGUAGGGGAAUCUCGCAUUUCACUGGGCCAGCAUCAGUUUUGGUGGCAGGAUAAAUCCAUAGGAAUGUAGCUUGCCUCGGUAAGUAUUAUAGCCUGUGGGAAUACUGCCAGCUGGGACUGAGGACUGCGACGUAAGUCAAGGAUGCUGGCAUAAUGGUUAUAUGCCGCCCGUCUUGAA
rnacentral:rRNA from 1 species